rnacentral:lncRNA from 1 species
AUAGAACAAAAUCAGUGAUUUCACUGCUAGGGUUUCAAACCCUUUUCCAUCGCCGCUCUCGGCCUACGGCCGACCCAAAUCUCAGCCCUCCAACUCCGAUUCGAAACGAAGCAGGCCUGGAUCGUUGACGGCGAGUCCCCGCAGGUAAGAAACCCUUCCUUCUAUACUGCUAUUUUUACAAAAAAAAAAUGAAAAGAACAUAAGCAUAAAAAAAACAAAAGAAUCGCAACCACCUCUUGAUUUUAAAAAUCCUUUGUAUUCUCCGUCCCCCCUCUUACUUUACAAUCUUUUCGGCUUUAUAGCCGAAACGAAAACAAAAUAAAAAAUAUAAAUAUUGUUCCCCCAAUUUUUGUUAUUCUGUUUUGUUCCCCUUUUCUUCUUUGUUUUCUUUGUGUUUGUUGCUGCAGGUAUUGCUUGGAGAAGAAUGCGCGCGACGUGCGUGGAACGGCAGAUGCGACGUGCGGGAGCGAGGGGCGCAAUAUGCAGGGGCGGUUGCAGCUUGCGGCAACUGUUGGUGGCUAGGAAGCUAGGUUUUUUUUUGUUUUAGGCUGAUGGGGCUUGGGUCAAAUGGGAUAUUUGGGCCUUGAUGGGUUUAGGCGUACUAGAAAAAAAAACUGGAUGGCAUGCUUUGUUUUGUGCGGGCCCGGGCAUUAUUGGGCUUGUACAUAAUAUAUUUUAAUUCUCAUAACAAUAAGAAAAUAAAAAAAAUCUACGUCAAACUUAAUGUUAAAAUUUGUCCAAUUAACAUAUGGUUGAUGGCUUGCUUUUGUUCUGAUGGUUUCUGUCCAAAUAAGGGUUGUUUAAUGUAAACUGAAG